rnacentral:rRNA from 1 species
AGUGAACGCUGGCGGUAGGCCUAACACAUGCAAGUCGAACGGCAGCACAGUAAGAGCUUGCUCUUACGGGUGGCGAGUGGCGGACGGGUGAGGAAUACAUCGGAAUCUACUUUUUCGUGGGGGAUAACGUAGGGAAACUUACGCUAAUACCGCAUACGACCUACGGGUGAAAGCAUGGGAUCUUCGGACCUUGCGCGAUUGAAUGAGCCGAUGUCGGAUUAGCUAGUUGGCGGGGUAAAGGCCCACCAAGGCGACGAUCCGUAGCUGGUCUGAGAGGAUGAUCAGCCACACUGGAACUGAGACACGGUCCAGACUCCUACGGGAGGCAGCAGUGGGGAAUCUUGGACAAUGGGCGCAAGCCUGAUCCAGCCAUACCGCGUGGGUGAAGAAGGCCUUCGGGUUGUAAAGCCCUUUUGUUGGGAAAGAAAAGCAGCAGGUUAAUACCCCGCUGUUCUGACGGUACCCAAAGAAUAAGCACCGGCUAACUUCGUG